rnacentral:rRNA from 1 species
GUCGAGCGAAUGGAUUAAGAGCUUGCUCUUAUGAAGUUAGCGGCGGACGGGUGAGUAACACGUGGGUAACCUGCCCAUAAGACUGGGAUAACUCCGGGAAACCGGGGCUAAUACCGGAUAACAUUUUGAACUGCAUGGUUCGAAAUUGAAAGGCGGCUUCGGCUGUCACUUAUGGAUGGACCCGCGUCGCAUUAGCUAGUUGGUGAGGUAACGGCUCACCAAGGCAACGAUGCGUAGCCGACCUGAGAGGGUGAUCGGCCACACUGGGACUGAGACACGGCCCAGACUCCUACGGGAGGCAGCAGUAGGGAAUCUUCCGCAAUGGACGAAAGUCUGACGGAGCAACGCCGCGUGAGUGAUGAAGGCUUUCGGGUCGUAAAACUCUGUUGUUAGGGAAGAACAAGUGCUAGUUGAAUAAGCUGGCACCUUGACGGUACCUAACCAGAAAGCCACGGCUAACUACGUGCCAGCAGCCGCGGUAAUACGUAGGUGGCAAGCGUUAUCCGGAAUUAUUGGGCGUAAAGCGCGCGCAGGUGGUUUCUUAAGUCUGAUGUGAAAGCCCACGGCUCAACCGUGGAGGGUCAUUGGAAACUGGGAGACUUGAGUGCAGAAGAGGAAAGUGGAAUUCCAUGUGUAGCGGUGAAAUGCGUAGAGAUAUGGAGGAACACCAGUGGCGAAGGCGACUUUCUGGUCUGU